UUUCUUCGGGGCAGGGUGUAACUCCCUACCGGCGGUAAAAGUCCGCGACUCUCCUUCGGGAGACUGAUUUGGUGUAAUUCCAAAACCGACGGUAAAAGUCCGGAUGAUAGAAGGA
rnacentral:ncRNA from 1 species